AGUGGAAUAGGUGAAUAAGUAUACGUGAAAAGGGGGCGGGAAUCACGAUCCACAUGGAACGUAUACGAGAGAGAGAGAGAGAGAGGGGGAGGAUUUCGGUGUUUCAAAAUGACGCAUGCGUUUUAAACGCGGAAAAGGGAAUGUUUGAGAGGGGGGAGGUGAAAGCACGAUAGUCCAACGUAUCGCAGUUCUAUUCCGAUGUUUGUCCGCCUGGGUACCAUCAGAAACGAUUCGUUGAGAAACGCACCCACGAGAUUGGAGCAUUUCCACUAUCAAGAAAAUAAUAAUCCAAAAAAAUAGUUAUGCUGUCUUCUGAAAUAAUAAAGAAUACGAAAAGAACAGCGAGAUUAAAGAGCAGAAGAAUUUAUUUAUUCAAUUUGUCACGAGGGUGAGAUUCAGAAUGCUGUGAAUGGAAAAAAGAAGAAUUUAGGGGACGACAGAGCCGUUCAACAACAGUUUACAACUGGAAAACUGUGAGAGUGCGAAACUGCAGCAAUAAAUGUGAUUCUCUACAAGCUAUUUUCAUCUGCAGUGCAGAUAUCUCGCUCUACUGUGAAAUUCGACAAUAAACUUAUCUUUUGAUAAAAAAAAAAAAAAAAAAAACAGAAAGAAAGAAACGAAAAUGAUGAUGAAUGUUUUCUUUACUUAAGGAUGUUAAAGCACGCACGGAGGAGAAAAAAAAAAUUUAGACAUUAUAGAUUUUUAUCUAAAGUAUGACAAAUGAUUCUUAAAAUGACUUCGAUGCUGUUUGUGAUAUCGUUUGUGAAAACAAAUUAGAGGUGAUAAAUUAUACUGAUUUCCUUUUUAUUCAUCAUCA